GGGCUUGACAUCCCACGAAUCCCGCGGAAACGCGGGAGUGCCCGCAAGGGAGCGCGGAGACAGGUGGUGCAUGGCUGUCGUCAGCUCGUGUCGUGAGAUGUUGGGUUAAGUCCCGCAACGAGCGCAACCCUCACCCCUUGUUGCCAUCAGGUAAAGCUGGGCACUCUAGGGGAACUGCCCCGGUCAACGGGGAGGAAGGCGGGGAUGACGUCAAGUCAUCAUGCCCCUUACGUCCUGGGCUACACACGUGCUACAAUGGCCGGUACAAAGGGAUGCAAGACCGCGAGGUGGAGCUAAACCCAAAAAGCCGGUCUAAGUUCAGAUUGGAGUCUGCAACUCGACUCCAUGAAGGAGGAAUCGCUAGUAAUCGCGCAUCAGCACGGCGCGGUGAAUACGUUCCCGGGCCUUGUACACACCGCCCGUCACACCACGAAAGCCAGUUGUACUCGAAGUCGCUGAG
rnacentral:rRNA from 1 species